rnacentral:lncRNA from 1 species
GAAACUAAAAGUUUAAUCGUCAUCCGGAUUGUUCACAAAUCGAUACCAUGUAAUAAUAGUUGACAAAUCGAUACCAUGAAUAAUAGUUGACAAAUCGAUACCAUGUAAUGAUAGUUGGUUAAACCAAAAAAAAAGUAAUAAUAGUUGAUGAUAUGAUCAUAAGAAGGAUGUAUGAAUGAAAUAACGGUGGAGAACUGGGGUUUUCGAGGAGAGAUCGAGGCCAAGGUCGAACAGACAACGAAACAAAGAUGAGAACACAUAAGAUUGCUCACUUUGACAAGCCUAGCAUCGAAUCGAACCACUCUUGAUCGUCUCCAUCUUCUGAUAUCCACCAUUUAUAAACCCAAUAUUAUUCUUAAAGAAAUUUUUUUUUUUUUUUUU